CAGAAUUUGUGUUUUUCUUUUUUUUUUGUGUGUGUGUGUAACCACGCCUACACAGUGGCUGCCAAGGCUUACCCAUGAGUUAAACCUUCUUUAGUUGGUAAUGAGGAAGGCACGGGCUCUAGCAGUGGACACCCGAAGGCAGCAGUGGAUGAAAACAAGCAAAAUAAAGAAAAGUUUGGCUGUGAGAAGGUGCUAGACAGCCAGCCAUAGUGACAAGGAGGCACCACCACCAUCACCACCACAGGGAAGUUCUGCAUCGCUUGGGCUUGUCACCACACCCGCACUGCCCCUGGUGCCCCACGGUGGAGGAAACUAUUGAACACUCGCCCCUACUCAGCCCUCGCUUCUAUUCCCACUGCGUUGUGCUCCGCGACCAACCAAGCCCUCGGGACCAACAUCCUUGACCUGCCCAACCUACUGGCGGCAGUGGGCAGCCCUCUACGCCAAAAACAAGAACAAUAAGAGAGAAGGGAAAGGCAUCUCAGUUGUCGCCGAUCAGCAGGAGCAGUGAGGAGGUCAACAUGAUUCCAGAAGUGGAUAUUUUUGUUGGAAAUUACACGAUUAUUGAUCAGGAAGUGUUUGAGUUAUGGGUGCAGGGUUACUCUGUGGUGGAGUGUGUGUCGGUGUUGCAGCAGCGCGGGGAGCUGGAGGCUUGGGGGGCGGCGCAGGACCUCCUUGCUUCGGACACUGGGGACCACUAUCGCACCUUUGGCAUGCUGGAGAAGCUGCUGCUCACGCCCCCUAAGCUGGCCGAGGAGUGGACCUUUCAGCUGGAGCCCGCCGUACAGCGCAUGGUCAUCGAGAAGUAUUACGAGCUGGACGACAUUGUUAUCCGAGAAAUCAUUGGAAAGAAGUUAUCGGGCCGAACCAGGAAGGAUCUUGACGACGUGGCUGAGAAGACAGGUGUGCUUCUGAGAUCCUGCAGACGUCAAUUUGAUAACGUGAAGCGGAUUUUCAAGCACGUGGAUGAGAUGACUGGCUCAGUGAUGGCCAAUAUCCAGUCUGCUUUCCUGCUGCCACCGCCGCUGGCCAAGAAAUAUGCAUCGAUCGUCUUCAUCAUCAACAACCGCUUUGAGACAAGCAAACGCAAGCUGAACUACUUAACGUUUGAGGACUUCUCAGUGUGUGCGUCCCUCAUGAUGUCGUCCUGGACCACCGCGAGCCCCCUGGCCCCCGCGCUGGCCCCAGACACCAGGGAUGAUACUGAUUUCGACAGGGACUUCCUCAUUGAGCUCAGGGACUUCAAACUUCUGCUGGAUCGGGAAAAGGAGCAUCGGAACGUCACCCUAAGCCACCUCAGAGGGAAGAUACCAGACCGCAUGUGCUCAGAGGUGGAAAGCAACUUCAAGAUUUACUCAAGGGGCAUUAUAAACAUCGGCUGCUCCCUCAACAACUCUCGGGACCUGAGGGAUUUCUUUGUGGAUGCUGUGGAGAGGGUGGUGGAGCCCUGCAGACAGGCUAGGUGGAGGUCCCCUGAGCUGGAGAUCUUCCUGAAGGUGUACGCUGAAGCUGGGUCUGCCCUGGAUAUUAUGGCCAGGUAGGUCUUUGUGUUUGGGGGUGUUUGGAGGAUCGAUCAGCAACAAAUUCCGCCUCCAUGCAUUUGUCAACACUGGAAACAUUGGAGACUUUGUGUUGACUGACGAUUACAAGCAGAACCUCCGGACACUUCUUCAGGAGGUUCGUUUGUCAUACGGCGCUGGGCUGGCAAUGAGUCUGGGAGGAUUUGCACGUGUGGAGCUCAACUACUGCGUGCCUCUGUUGGUGCAGCGCGGCGACCGACCCAGCCAGGGACUACAGUUUGGUGUGGCUGCCAGUUUCCUAUGAGAUCCUUCCUUCACCCUAGAGGUCCUGGGUUUCUUUACUUGGUCCUCAUUAUCCUUGUCUUUCUCUUGUUUACCUCCUGUCUUCCUUCUUUUGCUUGCCCUGUCUUCUUUCUUUCAAUUCCUAGUCUCUGCCAGCUUCCUCUGAGGUCAUUUCCUUCAUUCUAGAGUCCCUGGAGUCCUUCAUUUGGUCCUAGUCCUUUUCUUUUCUCUGUCUAGCUCCUGUCUUUCUCCUUUGCCCUUGUCUGCCAGCUUCCUCUGAGGUCCUUUCCUUCAAUAGAGAGAUCCUUGGUUCCUUCAUUUGGUCCUUCUAGUCUAGUCCUUGUCUUGCCCUUGUCUACCUUUCAUCUUUCUCCCUUGCCUUUCUUCAUUCAUUCCUUUCAUUCCAUCUAAUCUUGUCUUCUUUCCUUCAUUCCUUUAACUCCCUGCCUUUCUCUCCCUCAUUUUCCACACAAUCAUUUUUCUCUUUCUGUAUCUUUUCUUCUUUACUUCUUCAGUCUAGUCCUUCAUUAUCUCCUCUUUAAGUCUUCCUUUCUCCAGCUUGUCUAUUGUCUACGUAGGAAGGAUAAAAAGAGUGGAUAUAUUGAGUGGAUGGAGUGAGGAAUUGGUGAGGAUGGAAAGGUCAUAUCUUGGGUGGAUCUUAGUAAGGUGGAAGGCUGAGUGAGGGAGGAAAGGUUAGAAAAGAAUGGAGGACAGGAGGAUGAGGAAGGAAAGGUUAGGAAGGGAGAAGGAAAGAAGAUUGGGAAGGGUGGAAGACUAAGUGAGCGAGGAAAGGUUAGGAAGGAAUGAAGGACAACGUGAGGAUGGGUGUUAGUAAUGGUGUUGUGGGUGAGGAGGAAAAGGUUAGGCUGGCAGCUGCUUCCAUUUACUUAUGCAAGACUUGUACAGUGUAAAAAUACAGUCAUAUAUAUUAAU